GUUUGGGGUUUUGUGUUUGUUUUUGAUUUAGUCACUCUCAUAGGUUUGUAGUGUUAUCUCACCAUGGUGCAUUUUUUCGUGAAGAAUAAUAAAUAUAUUUGAAAAUAGACUGCAUCCCAGAAAGCAGUGGUAAAUACUGUUUUUAUGUAAGUAUAUAUGUAUGUAAGUACACACAAUCUCUUAGAACAUACACACUAGGUAUGUACUAAGUUACAAUGCAAAAUAUAUUUCAUACUGUGGGUUAUGGUAAAAAAAAAAGAUGUUUAAAAACUACUGUUCACCCUAAAGGAUGGAGACCCCAUAUCUGCUCACUUCAGAGAGACUUAGAGGAAACCUAGAAACCUUAAAUUAUCUCAACACUACAGCUGGGAGAAGAAACUGAGAUGGACUUCACCGGUACCAACUGAAAACAGGGAGAGGUAAAGAUCUCAUCAGUGCAGAGAAGCAGGUUUAACAUAACUCACACCUCUGAUCACUCAUACUUCCACACACAAGAACCUUUCAGUAACAGAGUGUGUGGACCCAGACCCUGCUUUCAAUGAAUGUACCAUCUAAGAGAGGCGAUACGAUAGAAACACAAAUAGAGCUACAGGGAGUAUCAAAUCAUGAAUGGAUGUUACUCUUUUUUUCUGGUUUGAAAAAAAUCUAUUUAAUACAUUACCCCUUCCUCAAGGGUAUAGUUCAUUUUAUUUUUAAAUGAGGUCAUGCUACAUGUCUGUGGGGAAGCAGGUAUAAAGGAACCCUCAUGCACAGCUGAUGGGUGUGUGGGCUGGUUUGGCAUUCUGCAGAAUGUUCCAACAGCACUUACAUUAUGUAGACAUAGAUUUGCUUACCUAGCAGUUCUAAUCACGGGUAUGGUGUGUAUUACAAAUUUUUUCUAGGUCGGCAAGGGAACACGCACAAGGAUGUUCCUUGCAGCACUGGCUGGGGGUGCACGAAGCUGGAGGCCGUCUGGGGGCUCGUUCCCAAGAGAGGAAAACCAGACACUGCCACUUUUCCAAGUAUAAUUUUGGCAUGACACUACCGUCUCCUUCACAGGACUGCUGUGUGAUAGUGCCUUCAUACGCUUAGCACAGUGAUGGACCAUAAAUGCUCAACCAGUUUUCGUUUCAUUCCUUUCCCUCAUGCUUGACUCAUGCUGAAAAGUGUUAGUGACGACCGCACAGCCUGUGUGUGAGUGAGUAAAGGCGCUGGGAGUGUAAGGCGCUGACUACCUAGCUUCCCCAGACCUACUUAAACUAGCUUAUUCUCCUCCAGUCUUUCCCAUUAAAAAUAAUUGCUUCCAAAUGUAUUUGAAUAUAUUAAAUUUUUUCUCUUCCUUUGAGAAUUAUAACUAAUUCAUCAAAACUUGCGAUUAGAGAGUAUGUGCAUCAAAAUAAGGGAGAAUUAACAGACAAAAGGUCUGUAGCACUGAUGCAGAGAAACUGACUGGCUUUGAGGUUAUAGAAACAAUCUGCGAGUUUGCAGCAACCACGCCUGUUUUAUGUCCAAGGCUGCGUGCAUUUCCCUCCCUGUGUUCUAGCCUUAUAUUCUACCAGAUUGAUCGGGUAGAAUCCAGUUCUGCUUGACAUUCUUGCAAACACCUGACCCCAAUUACCAUUUUUUAAGACACUUUUUCCUAUGAAAAUAUUUAUUUCACUUGUCCUGAACCCUUUCUGAUCAUUUCCAAGAGCCCAGGUCAGUACAGCUGGAAAACAAAUGAGUAUUCUCUUACACCAGUGCAUAGCCAUACCUUCUGGCUGCUAAAGUGAUGUUCUCAAGCCAAAGUAUCAACGACACUGUGCAACUGUACUUCACAAUUACUCUUCCUGAUUUCACAAUAAUGGGAGCAAAAGUCUGGAAGAAAUGAGGUCCUUGGCACAAUAUGGCCCUGCCAUCUGAGGAGAGGGGGGAGCGGGAAAGCCCGGAGAGUCCCAGCAGGGCCCUGGGAAGUCUUUUACCAGGUAAAAAAGAUCAGCAGAAAAAUAUUUCCACAGAGUAUAUUACAGAGUACUACCAUCCAUUCUAUUUUACUGGACAUUAAUUGUGCUUAUUAAUUAAGGCACAUGUCUGUUGAAAAAACUGAAUGAAUGAAUGAAUAUUUAUCAACCAAAUUAAAAACAAAAGCUUUCAUGUCAAAAAAAAAUGAAUGAAUGGAAUACUCAAGGAAAAGGACUGGUGUGCUGCUGAGGCGGGGGAAACAUGUCCUGCAUUUUUUAGAUGAAGCAGAAAUAUAAGGUCAGAAUCUUAAAGUUCCAAUCUAUACUAUCUCUCAAAAUUAAAAAUUCAUUCCUAUUUUACUAGGCAUUUGCCAUUGAAAUUUAACUUCCUUGUUGAUUCUUAUAAAUUUAAAACUUAUCACAUAUGCGGAGUCUAAAAA